rnacentral:rRNA from 2 species
UGGGGGAUAUUGCACAAUGGGCGAAAGCCUGAUGCAGCGACGCCGCGUGGGGGAUGAAGGCUUUCGGGUUGUAAACCUCUUUCGCUAUCGAACAAGGCCCGCUUAGGGUGGGUUGAGGGUAGGUGGAGAAGAAGCGCCGGCUAACUACGUGCCAGCAGCCGCGGUAAUACGUAGGGCGCGAGCGUUGUCCGGAAUUAUUGGGCGUAAAGGGCUUGUAGGCGGCUUGUUGCGCCUGCUGUGAAAACGCGGGGCUUAACUUCGCGCGUGCAGUGGGUACGGGCAGGCUUGAGUGUGGUAGGGGUGACUGGAAUUCCAGGUGUAGCGGUGGAAUGCGCAGAUAUCUGGAGGAACACCGAUGGCGAAGGCAGGUCACUGGGCCAUUACUGACGCUGAGGAGCGAAAGCAUGGGUAGCAAACAGG